GAGGUGAAGUGACAGAGCAGGAUGCUAAACUGAACACCAAAAACAUAACAUCACACAAAUCUUGAUGUUCUUUUCUUAUUCUUAAUUGUUUCUUAUUAAUUUAUUUUUAAUUUAAUAUGACAUAACUCUGGCAAAACUUUUGGACAUCAGUUCUUUGUAGACAAUGCAAAACACAUAUGUCUACCAUGGCUUUCCUGUUGCUAAACAAAGUAUUUUCUGACUCCUGUUAGAAAAUAAACAUUCUGCUGCUUUUAUACAAGGCCACAGCAGUGGCUAUUAUUAGUUCAUUGCUGUUAAUUGCAGGAUGCCUUCUUUCUCAGUAGGUAUUGACCACAUGAGAAGCGAUGGGAAAUGUUUGCCUCUGUAUAAAUACAAAGAAAACACAGCCUGGUCACUUUAUAGGGCUGGGGAUUUCAAUGCAGGCAAAGCAGGGGAAAAAAAAUAAUCUACUCUCAUUUGUAAAGCCUUGUAAAGGAAAAGUGCAAAGCAAAGGAAAGGAGGGACGUGGGCAAUCUGCCCACUGCAGAAGUGAGGAGGACUCGAAAAGCUCUUCAGAUCCCACACGCCAUCCGUCAUAGCUUGGAAAGCCUUUCAGUUAAGUGCAAGGCAAAGUGGCUGUGAAUUUAAUUCCUUGUGCAUAAGUUAGUGAUGUUAAAGAAAUGCUUUCAUUGCUUGCAUAGUCUAAUACAAGUUCCUUCUUAGGUUACAUAUUUUGGCUUGAAUCAAUUAUACCAAGGACCAUAAUUUUAAUGGAUGUCAACAAAAUGGAAAAAUAAAAACGAUGCUGAUUUGCAGCAGUUACUGAUCAAAACUCUAUAAAAUAAAAUUACUGAGCAUCCACACCAAUGGCUUAUCCUCCUUCCCAGUCCUUUGUGCUCUACCAGUGAGGUCCAAGAGGAAAGUCAGCAUUAGAUACCAAUUGGUCCAUCAUCAAAAUGUGGAACGCGAUUGAAUAAAUCAUGCAUUUAUAGUGAACAAACACAAGAGGGUGCAAUAAGCAUGUCCAGAAACUUUAGCUGUCAUGGAAACAACUUCGGCUCAGAAACUGCAGCUCUAAUGCAUAGUCAUUGAUUUGUGUCUGUUAUUUAGAGGCCAUCUGCGUCAGAGGUACUGCUGAGUUAUUCAUCAGCAUUCCAUGUAAAAUAAGAGGCACUGAAUCUGGAUUCACGAAGCCCAUGCAAAGUAGCCCUGUUCUGCGAAGAAAGGAUGAUGCUCUGAGUGCGGAUGAGAGAUAGCAAACCAAACAGCAUGCUAAUGGAUAAAAAGGGAAAGAAUCACCAGCAAGUUAUUACAGAAGGGAUAGAUCACAUCUAGAAAUUUGCUGUCUUCCUGCUUGAGAGGACUACCUGCUUUCAGUCACAGACUAAUUAGUAAGGAUGCUCCUUAAGAUGCUUGCCUGCUACAAAAUGACAGCAUGAGUGCUCUUUGUCAUUGAAGAUGACAAAAGCCAUGGGUUUUGCUCCAUGAUAUUCAGUUAGCCCCCUACUAAAACCAGACUGGACUUAAAGUUCCUAUGUCCCAGGUCACCCAGCUAGCUGGUAUUACAGCCAGAUCUCCCAGGUGCCUGUCCUUUCCUCUAGAAUCCAGGCAGAACUCGCUUUUUAUUAGCAUCAGCCUCAGUUUGUCCCAGCUGCAUUGAGAGCCUUAGAGCCAGAUUUUGAAGCGCUGUCUGAUUUCCCUUGAAAUCAUGGGGCCUUUAAUAUCAUCCUUUGAAAUCCCAGUCGUGGUCACAAGACUUUUCCUGUGAUGCAAAUGGUGGGUCCCAUGUGUCAGCGAGAUAGAUCUUGGAUGUCCCAAAGGACAUCAUGUUGCCGCUGGAGACAGAAACAACACUGAGUCAUCCCAAAUUGUAGGGAACUUUUAUAUAACAGACAAGCCUGAGGUCCAGUGCUGUGAUUGAAGUCUGUAACCAGUGCUGAUUUCUGAUUUAAUCCAUUUGAUGAAAGGGUGGACCUCAGCUGGCACAAGUGAAGACCAUCCCACCACUGCUAGCAGAACUCACUAUGGAGCCAAGGAUCCAGCCCAUUGGCCUUCAUUGCAUACAAAAUUAGAUGAACACCUAAAAAACACAGCUGUAAUUUUCUACUUGAGAACUUUCUCCAGCUGAGCACCUUGCUCAGUAGUUUUGUACCUUUGACUUAAGUAGUACAAGAGCUGCAAAUUGAUUUUUAUCAGGAUUUAAUUAAAUUUGUGCUGUGACCUGCGAUGCGGUGUAAUGUACACAAGUUAAAAUCUGAUUGCAGCAA